rnacentral:tRNA from 1 species
GUCCUCAUAGUACAAUGGAUAGUACAUAGCCCUCCGAAGGCUGAGAUUGUGGUUCAAUUCCACAUGAGGACA